GACAAUAUGGUAAAAAUUUUAUUAAUUACAUACAGUAUUUAUAGUUUUUUUAUUGCACUCUCAAGUUAGUUUCAAAACAAACAAUAGUGCAAUUAACUAUACACAAAUAGAAAGGUACCAUGCAACAUACAAACAAGCGUAAUACAAAGAAAAAACGUGUAGUUUGAUUUUUCUUCUUUCCUUUUCAUACAGCUUGGAGCUGCCUGCAGCUGCAGUAGAAAAAGCAAAGACCUGCUUCUGAGCAGGAUACAGGGCAGACUGCAAUGACUUGUCAAGGCCUUCCAUGGUGAGAAAAAAAAAUGAAAAUUAGGCUGGUUAUAUUGCAUGGGGCAGUGUAGCAGACAGUACUGGACUAUUAUCUUUACAAAGCAUCUACUGUCUUAAAUUCCUACAUUGUAAAUACUACACUAAGAAGACGUGUACAGCAGGAAAAUGUUAAUACAAGUGGAAAGAGUUGCAUAUAAAUUAGGGAAUCUGUCCGCAUUUGGUUAAUUUCUUCUUGUAAAAGCUUAUUAAAAUACGCACAUCUUUGGUCCGUGCUCAAACCCACGACUUGGUGAAACUUUGGCUUCAGAAUAACCAGUGAACACAAAGGAGGAGCUACAUAAGAUUUACACAUAAGAGCUGCUUUAGGGAGCAUCUACAGCUCUGAUCAGUUAAAGCAAACUUCAAAUGAAUAUAUGUAUGGGUCUGAAAUUAAGACAUAAAAGGAGCGUUGAAACAAAAUAAUACUAAGACAGCAUCUGUGGCCUGAUUAGAAAAGUGUUUCUUUAAAGUAGGGGCACUGUUCGAUGAUCCACAUUGCCGACUGGGGCUGAGAUUUUUAUAUUUAUAUAUGUAUAACAUAAAAGCACCUUUUUUUUCAGCAGACUACAGCUGCAUUAGGAUAUUUGUCAACAUAAGCAAAAUUACCUAAUCAGUCAAGUGUUAACCAAAUUUCAGUUCAAGGAUUAAAGUCAAGACAAGCAGCACAACGAAGGACGAAUCAGAGCAUUUGGUAGAGACACUGAAGAAAGGACUCCAAAAUCCUUUGGUUUCUGUGAAAGAAGAAACAGUUAAUCCGGAUCCUGAAUGCGUCAUGAAGAAAAUGACACGGCUUUUCUGAUUUCUCGAUCAAAUAGCGCACAUAGGUAAGGGGUUUUGUAGCAGUGGCGGCCGACAUGACUCAACUAUAGAGUUCAACAUCUGUUUCCAGUUCCAAGUUCACAUGGCUCACUGCAUCAACAGUUCUAGGUAAUGCAAGCUCAGCCGGGACCUUGUGAAAACUGAACGUCUCUGAUGAACAUUUCAGCAUAAAGGGAUGUGAGAGUGAGCGGGUUUCUAUGUGUGUGGCAGAGACGGAGAGCAGCAAAGACAGGGGAGAUGUCUGUGUCACUGAAUAUUCUCAGCACUAUGCCAGCAGUGCGUGAGGGAUCGCUGCCUUCUACAAAAGGCAGCGCACAUAUGGCACUCUUCAUGAAAGAAAGAGGACAAAGUAGUGUCUUUAUUCUAAGCCAUACCUUUAUGAGGUGGGUACCACAGCUUAUUGUUGCCGUAAGUCUCAGCUCUCAGCUGCUGUUUCCCCCCAACUACUCACAUUGUCUUGAAGGCUGGUGUGAAGGAGGAGUGGGAGAUACUGCCAUUUAGGGUAACCUAGUAGAUUGCGUGACAGGACUGGGUGGGGGGAGGGUGUUUGACACCUCAUCAGCAGCCGUAUUGGUUUCUGUGGGUUUCUGGCUUCACUUGCAAAACAGAAUCCCUUGCCUUCUCAUCCUCUCCCCAACCCCCCUCUCUCCUACAUUGGCCAGCUCCUUCAGCUGGAAAGCUCAGCGAGGGUUUAUUUUCAAAGAUGGGGAAUGAAAACAGCUCUCUCUUUGUUUUGGCUGCUGCGCCAUUCCCAGCGGAGGAGGCACAGUGUCUUGAGGACUGGGCCUGGGACUGGGCCUCACAGGGGACCACACGGAGGAGUUGGCUGAGGGGUUGGGGAGUGAGUGUCCGGGUAUGGGUCCCUCUCAAACAGGGUGCGAGGGCAGCUCUAGGAGUGUGGGUGUCGGCGCUGAUCGGAGGUGACGGAAGCCCACCUCUGUGCUGUCUGCUAUGGUGAUGUCUGCAUCUUCCCCUUUUCCUCGUUGGCGAUGGAUGGCACUGAAAUAAGCAUUCAUCAGCUGCAUGAUCUCAGUCAGCUGUGAUGGAGAGAGGGAGAGAGAGAGAGGUCAAAUUGGUGGCAGUCUCAGUGUCUGUCUGGCACUGUCACAGGAGGGCGGGUAAAGAUGAUGUCAUUCAGCUGCCAGAAAAACUAGAUCCUCCAGAAGUAAAGCGUGAUGUUUGGCAGAUUUAAGGGGACAUACACAUCUCUUAACUGUGUCUGGGUAGUUCUUCACUUUGACAUACACCAC
ensembl:lncRNA